GCUGGGCUCGGUGGUGCACGCCUGUAAUCCCAGUGGCUCAGGAGGCUGAGACAGAAGGAUCGUGAGUUCAAAGCCAGCCUCAGCAACUUUCUUGAUGUCCCGAGAAACUUGGAGAAACCCUGUCUCUA
rnacentral:sRNA from 1 species